rnacentral:rRNA from 1 species
UACGGAGGGUGCAAGCGUUAAUCGGAAUUACUGGGCGUAAAGCGCACGCAGGUGGCUGAGUCAGUCGAUUGUGAAAGCCCUGGGCUUAACCUGGGAAUUGCAGUCGAUACUACUCGGCUCGAGUAUGGGAGAGGGCAGUGGAAUUCCGGUGUAGCGGUGAAAUGCGUAGAUAUCGGGAGGAACAUCAGUGGCGAAGGCGGCUGCCUGGCCCAAUACUGACACUCAGGUGCGACAGCGUGGGAGCAACAGGAUUAGAUACCGAG